AGUCGAACGGUAACAGGUCUUCGGAUGCUGACGAGUGGCGAACGGGUGAGUAAUACAUCGGAACGUGCCCGAUCGUGGGGGAUAACGGAGCGAAAGCUUUGCUAAUACCGCAUACGAUCUACGGAUGAAAGCAGGGGACCGCAAGGCCUUGCGCGGACGGAGCGGCCGAUGGCAGAUUAGGUAGUUGGUGGGAUAAAAGCUUACCAAGCCGACGAUCUGUAGCUGGUCUGAGAGGACGACCAGCCACACUGGGACUGAGACACGGCCCAGACUCCUACGGGAGGCAGCAGUGGGGAAUUUUGGACAAUGGGCGAAAGCCUGAUCCAGCCAUGCCGCGUGCAGGAUGAAGGCCUUCGGGUUGUAAACUGCUUUUGUACGGAACGAAAAGACUCCUUCUAAUAAAGGGGGUCCAUGACGGUACCGUAAGAAUAAGCACCGGCUAACUACGUGCCAGCAGCCGCGGUAAUACGUAGGGUGCAAGCGUUAAUCGGAAUUACUGGGCGUAAAGCGUGCGCAGGCGGUUAUAUAAGACAGAUGUGAAAUCCCCGGGCUCAACCUGGGAACUGCAUUUGUGACUGUAUAGCUAGAGUACGGUAGAGGGGGAUGGAAUUCCGCGUGUAGCAGUGAAAUGCGUAGAUAUGCGGAGGAACACCGAUGGCGAAGGCAAUCCCCUGGACCUGUACUGACGCUCAUGCAC
rnacentral:rRNA from 1 species